rnacentral:rRNA from 1 species
ACUCAAAGGAAUUGACGGGGACCCGCACAAGCAGUGGAGCGCUUGGUUUAAUUCGAUGCUAAGCGAAGAACCUUACCAGGGCUUGAACUAUAGCUGCAUCUUUGGUGAAAGCCAGAGAGCCUUCGAGGGUGCUAUAGAGGUGCUGCAUGGCUGUCGUCAGCUCGUGUCGUGAGAUGUAGGGUUAAGUCCCGCAACGAGCGCAACCCCUAUUCGCUGUUAAAAUUUCUGCGAAAACUGCCUCGCCAAAACGAGGAGGAAGGUGGGGAUGACGUCUAGUCCUCAUAGCCCUUAUGUCCUGGGCUACACAAGCGCUACAAUGGGUGGUACAAAGGGUUGCCAAACCGCAAGGUGGAGCUAAUCCCAAAAAACCAUCCUCAGUUCAGAUUGUCGGCUGCAAUUCGCCGGCAUGAAGUCGGAAUUGCUAGUAAUCGCGGAUCAGCAUGCCGCGGUGAAUACGUUCUCGGGUCUUGUACACACCGCCCGU